rnacentral:rRNA from 1 species
GUGAACGCUGGCGGUAGGCCUAACACAUGCAAGUCGAACGGCAGCACAGUAAGAGCUUGCUCUUACGGGUGGCGAGUGGCGGACGGGUGAGGAAUACAUCGGAAUCUACUUUUUCGUGGGGGAUAACGUAGGGAAACUUACGCUAAUACCGCAUACGACCUACGGGUGAAAGUAGGGGAUCUUCGGACCUUGCGCGAUUGAAUGAGCCGAUGUCGGAUUAGCUAGUUGGCGGGGUAAAGGCCCACCAAGGCGACGAUCCGUAGCUGGUCUGAGAGGAUGAUCAGCCACACUGGAACUGAGACACGGUCCAGACUCCUACGGGAGGCAGCAGUGGGGAAUAUUGGACAAUGGGCGCAAGCCUGAUCCAGCCAUACCGCGUGGGUGAAGAAGGCCUUCGGGUUGUAAAGCCCUUUUGUUGGGAAAGAAAAGCAGCAGGUUAAUAACCCGCUGUUCUGACGGUACCCAAAGAAUAAGCACCGGCUAACUUCGUG